ACGCGCGCACCUGCCCGGGGUGAGGCCGCUGCUGGCAGGGCAGCUACUCGCCGCCCCUCCAAGGGACGCUCCAGCCUCAGCGCCGCGGGGGAGGCUGGCCGGGGCCCUCAGGCCUGCGUGGAUUUCCUCCCCACUGGCUGUCUCCGCCGGCCCAGGUUUAGCCCUCAGAACUUGGAGAAUGCCUAGGAGGCUCGAGUUUUUCUACAAACAAGAGGCAAGCGGAGGACGUGAGGGCAUCUGUCCUGGAAAGGCCCCAAAGGGUGCUACUCAGUUACAACUGCUCUUUCACUUGAUUUUUGAAUGAAUUAAAUGAGAUAAUGCCC
ensembl:lncRNA